UACGAAGGGGGCUAGCGUUGUUCGGAGUUACUGGGCGUAAAGGGCGCGUAGGCGGCGCACCAAGUCAGGCGUGAAAGCCCUGGCUCAACCCGGGAAUUGCGCUUGAGACUGGUGUGCUUGAGUACGGGAGAGGAUAGUGGAAUUCCCAGUGUAGAGGUGAAAUUCGUAGAUAUUGGGAAGAACACCGGUGGCGAAGGCGGCUAUCUGGACCGUAACUGACGCUGAGGCGCGAAAGCGUGGGGAGCAAACAGG
rnacentral:rRNA from 1 species